ensembl:lncRNA
UUCCCAGCUUCACAGGUGUCCUUUUCUCCUGCUCUGCCCAAUUCCAGGUUGUUGUGUGGCCAAAUCUGGGAGAGUGUGUGUGGGGAAGUAUUUCAGAGAGUCUCCACAGCCCAGCUCCCUGGGAGGAGGGAGAAGGUGUGGAUGGAUGGUCCAUGUGAAGUUACACUGGAGUGACCCAUUGAGGGAAGAGCAGCACUAAGCAGUGAGCCCAGGGAGAUGUCCCAGGACGGACAGACGACUCAGGAGACGGAUGUGCAGCCUGAGGAGGACACCCUUGCUGCUGCCAGGGAGAAGAAAGAAGCACCAGAGGAUGAUGCGUCACCAUCGUGUCCCCGGGCAUCUCCUUUAGGUAUGGGGAUCUCAGAUACCCUGCCCAGCACCUGGGCUGGGAGCCAGGGCACCCUGGGGGAAG